rnacentral:rRNA from 1 species
AUUGAACGCUGGCGGCAGGCCUAACACAUGCAAGUCGAACGGUAACAGGAAACAGCUUGCUGUUUCGCUGACGAGUGGCGGACGGGUGAGUAAUGUCUGGGAAACUGCCUGAUGGAGGGGGAUAACUGCUGGAAACGGUAGCUAAUACCGCAUAACGUCGCAAGACCAAAGAGGGGGACCCUCGGGCCUCUUGCCAUCGGAUGUGCCCAGAUGGGAUUAGCUUGUUGGUGGGGUAACGGCUCACCAAGGCGACGAUCCCUAGCUGGUCUGAGAGGAUGACCAGCCACACUGGAACUGAGACACGGUCCAGACUCCUACGGGAGGCAGCAGUGGGGAAUAUUGCACAAAGGGCGCAAGCCUGAUGCAGCCAUGCCGCGUGUAUGAAGAAGGCCUUCGGGUUGUAAAGUACUUUCAGCGGGGAGGAAGGGAGUAAAGUUAAUACCUUUGCUCAUUGACGUUACCCGCAGAAGAAGCACCGGCUAACUCCGUG